GGGUCAGGGCUACAGCAGACCCUGAAAGCUGAGAAACACCCCACACACUCACACCAAGUGAGGAGAGGCUGCCAAGGAAAGGGAGGGACAGAACAAGGAGAGAGAAGAAAGGAGGGGCUGCCUGGCCGGGCUGCUGUCCCCCCUACAGAGCCAGCUCAGAUUCAGUUCCAGGAGCAGCUUGGCUGCGGAAGCAACGGCAGUCCCUCUCCACCAGGGAAGGGCAGCGGGCGGACCGGCACACAGACAGAGGGUCUGGGACUGGAAGUCCUCAGCUCCCAGCCUCUCGGCCAGGCCUGGCCCCAUGGCCUUCAAUGACCUCCUGCUGCAGGUGGGGGGCGCCGGCCGCUUCCAGCAGAUCCAGGUCACUCUGGUGGUCCUCCCCCUGCUCCUGAUGGCCUCCCACAACACCCUGCAGAACUUCACCGCCGCUGUCCCCACCCACCACUGCCGCCCGCCUGCCGACACCAACCUCAGCAAGGACGGAGAGCUGGACGCCUGGCUGCCCCGGGACAGGCAGGGCCGGCCCGAGUCCUGCCUCCGCUUCACCUCCCCCCAGCGGGGGCUGCCCUUUCCCAACGGCACAGAGACCAAUGGCACGGGGGCCACAGAGCCCUGCACCCACGGCUGGAUCUAUGACAAUAGCACCUUCCCUUCCACCAUCGUGAUGGAGUGGGACCUCGUGUGUUCUCGUAGGGCCUUACGCCAGCUGGCUCAGUCCUUGUACAUGGUAGGGGUGCUUCUCGGAGCCAUGAUAUUCGGGCACCUGGCAGACAGGCUGGGCCGCCGGAAGGUGCUCAUCUUGAACUACCUGCAGACGGCUGUGUCAGGAACCUGCACCGCCUUUGCUCCCAGCUUCCCCGUCUACUGCGCCUUCCGGCUCCUCUCGGGCAUGUCGCUGGCUGGCAUUUCCCUCAACUGCAUGACACUGAAUGUGGAGUGGAUGCCCAUCCACACGCGGGCCUGUGUGGGCACCCUGAUUGGCUAUGUCUACAGCCUGGGCCAGUUUCUCCUGGCUGGUGUGGCCUAUGCUGUGCCCCACUGGCGCUACCUGCAGCUGCUGGUCUCCGUGCCCUUUUUUGCCUUCUUCAUCUACUCCUGGUUCUUCAUCGAGUCGGCCCGCUGGUACUCCUCCUCUGGGAGGCUGGACCUCACCCUGAAGGCCCUGCAAAGAGUGGCCUGGAUCAAUGGGAAGCGGGAAGAGGGGGCCAGUCUAAGUAUGGAGGUGCUCCGGGCCAGUCUGCAGAAGGAGCUGACCCUGGGCAAGGGCCAGGCCUCGGCCAUGGAGCUGCUGCGCUGUCCUGCUCUUCGCCGCCUCUUCCUCUGCCUCUCCAUGCUGUGGUUUGCCACUAGCUUUGCCUACUAUGGGCUGGUCAUGGACCUGCAGGGUUUUGGGGUCAGCAUCUACCUAAUCCAGGUGAUCUUUGGUGCUGUGGACCUGCCUGCCAAGCUUGUGGGCUUCCUUGUCAUCAACUCUAUGGGCCGCCGGCCUGCCCAGAUGGCCUCACUGCUGCUGGCAGGCGUCUGCAUCCUGAUCAAUGGGGUGGUACCCCAGGAUCAGUCCAUUGUCCGAACCUCCCUUGCUGUGCUGGGGAAGGGCUGCCUGGCCGCCUCCUUCAACUGCAUCUUCCUGUACACUGGGGAGCUGUACCCCACAGUGAUCCGGCAGACAGGCUUGGGAAUGGGCAGCACUCUGGCGCGAGUGGGCAGCAUUGUGAGCCCACUGGUGAGCAUGACCGCCGAGAUCUACCCCUCCGUGCCUCUCUUUAUCUACGGCGCUGUCCCCGUGGCCGCCAGCGCUGCCACUGUCUUCCUGCCGGAGACCCUGGGCCAGCCACUGCCAGACACAGUGCAGGACGUGGAAAACAGGAGGAGAGGAAAGAGGAGGCAGCAGCGACAGGAGCGAAAGCAGAUGGUCCCGCUCCAGGCCUCAGCACAAGCGAAGGACGGACUCUGAGCGCUGAAAAGGAGCCUUACAGAGCCCUAAAGGAAGACAGGGUCCUACAGGAUCCUCCCUCUCUGUGAAAGCUCCUGGGAACUUCUGGCAGCAAAGGAGGAGAAAAGAGAGCAGCUGUGACGUCAGGAUCCUGAUCCCUGCUCCUCUGGAUUCCAGCAGGGUCUGGACUCAAAACCAGUUUGCCACUUCCAGCUGUGCACCUGGAGAUUCAGCCUGCUAGCUAUCCUAACCCUCCACACUGCGCUUCCCGGCCUUUCUUUGCUGCUCUGCCUCCAGCGGGCCCUGGGUUGGUGGAGGGGAAGGAGGAGAAAAAGGGAGGGUGGAACCCAGCCAGAGAGCCACCUCUGAGUGCUAAUUUGGUGCCAGGCACAGUCCUAAGCACUUUGCAUGUAUUAACGCAUUCAGUCCUCCCAGGAGCCUUCUAGAGAUAAGUGCUAGGAUUAUCCCCAUUUUACAGGGAAGGAGAUCAAGGCACAGAGUGGCUAAGUAACUUGCCCUAAUUCACACAGCUGUUAAAUUGCAGAGUCAGGGUUAGAAGCAGACCACGUGGAAUGUGUGUGCCAGGACAUCCCCCCUCCCCACAAAAUGCCCCGGGGGCUGUGAGGCACUGAGACUUUGGCCUCUUCCACCCCCAGGGCUGUGCUUCUACUCCUCCCUCCUGAGCUGAA